rnacentral:pre_miRNA from 1 species
UCUCAUGAUAUGACCAUCUGGAGGUAAGAAGCACUUUGUUUUGUGAAAUAAAGUGCUUCCUUUCAGAGGGUUACUCUUUUGAGA